GACCAGAUUGCAAAUUCAGGAGGGGAACAAACUGCAAAUCCAGGAGGGGAGCAAACUGCAACUCCAGGAGGGGAGCAGACCACAACUCCAAAUGGAGGGGAGCAGACUGCUACCCCAACUCCAGGAGGGGAGCAGACUACUAUCUCAAUUCCAGGAGGGGAGCAGACCACUACUCCAAUGCCUAUGGAAACCAAUGAGUAGAAGUUGAAAGUUGUGUCCAUAAUAUUGUGUACAGAGCACACUUGAGGCAACUGAGUAGUUUGUCACAACCGACCAAUGUUCCUG
rnacentral:lncRNA from 1 species